rnacentral:rRNA from 1 species
UACAUGUGGGGCAAGCGUUGUUCGGAAUUACUGGGUUUAAAGGGUGCGUAGGCGGCCCUGUAAGUCAGUGGUGAAAUCUCUCAGCUUAACUGAGAAACUGCCAUUGAUACUGCAGGGCUUGAGUACAGAUGAUGUUGGCGGAAUAUGACAUGUAGCGGUGAAAUGCAUAGAUAUGUCAUAGAACACCGAUUGCGAAGGCAGCUGGCAAAACUGUAACUGACGCUGAGGCACGAAAGUGUGGGGAUCAAACAGG